rnacentral:rRNA from 1 species
AGAGUUUGAUCAUGGCUCAGAUUGAACGCUGGCGGCAUGCUUUACACAUGCAAGUCGAACGGUAGCAGGUCUUCGGAUGCUGACGAGUGGCGAACGGGUGAGUAAUACAUCGGAACGUGCCUAGUAGUGGGGGAUAACUACUCGAAAGAGUAGCUAAUACCGCAUGAGAUCUAUGGAUGAAAGCAGGGGACCUUCGGGCCUUGUGCUACUAGAGCGGCUGAUGGCAGAUUAGGUAGUUGGUGGGGUAAAGGCUUACCAAGCCUGCGAUCUGUAGCUGGUCUGAGAGGACGACCAGCCACACUGGGACUGAGACACGGCCCAGACUCCUACGGGAGGCAGCAGUGGGGAAUUUUGGACAAUGGGCGAAAGCCUGAUCCAGCAAUGCCGCGUGCAGGAUGAAGGCCCUCGGGUUGUAAACUGCUUUUGUACGGAACGAAAAGCCUGGGGCUAAUAUCCCCGGGUCAUGACGGUACCGUAAGAAUAAGCACCGGCUAACUACGUGCCAGCAGCCGCGGUAAUACGUAGGGUGCAAGCGUUAAUCGGAAUUACUGGGCGUAAAGCGUGCGCAGGCGGUUUUGUAAGACAGUGGUGAAAUCCCCGGGCUCAACCUGGGAACUGCCAUUGUGACUGCAAGGCUAGAGUGCGGCAGAGGGGGAUGGAAUUCCGCGUGUAGCAGUGAAAUGCGUAGAUAUGCGGAGGAACACCGAUGGCGAAGGCAAUCCCCUGGGCCUGCACUGACGCUCAUGCACGAA